GAUCCUGUCUGUAGCACGGGUACAAUUGAGCGGACUCGAUCCGAGGAACAGGGACUUCAAUUAAGUGUGACCAUUCACCCGGCGCCCCGAUCCUAUCCCAGACCAGCCCCUCGCCCUCGUCAAGAAACGGCCGCUCAGCAACAGACCGACCUCUGACCAUUCGAGACGACAGCCUCCUGCCCGACUUCAACAGAUGCGACCGUCCGUGAUCACCUGUGCCCCUCCCAGUGCCCGGACUGACGGCAAGACCAGCCAAUCGCACUGCGCACAGAGAGGGGGCCCAGAACAGUCAGCUGCGGCCCUGAUACAGACGCAGCAGCGCGGGCCCUUUCCUGUGACUCCGUGGUGGACGAGCAUUUCCGUCGGAGCCUGGGCUGGGAAUACAGAUUCCUCCCCCCGCCCCCCAGUUCCGUCUCCGUCUCUGGCUCCGUCGACGAACAUUUCGCCAAAGCUCUUGGCAAGGCUGCAGGGUGUGGGUGACCGUGAACACACGUUCUGCCAGCAAGAGGGGGCACCGGCACACGAACCAUCCCGCCUUUCAUAGACCCGCCCCUGCGUGUGGGCGCAUGGAGCAAAUUGGAUUGAGGAAUUUUGCACAGCAAGAUCCCACAUUGCUUGGGAGAGGUUUGCAUCUGUCCUCCUCUCUCUCUCCCCUGUCAACAGCUGGCACCCUCAAAGCAGAAGAUUGCACAUCACGACCCCCUUGUCCGUGGCCCACGUUUCACAUUGUGAAUGCUUGGCUGAGCUCCAAACAUCUAGAAACAGCAGUGUUUCAGUGACUGCGACACGCGCUGCAGACCCCCCCAGCAGCUCCUGUGACGGUACCUCCCAAUCCCGACACCCUCUGCCUGCCCAUGAGGCCGAAGGCUGUUCGAAUUUUCAUCUGUAUUUCCAAAUCUGUUCAGCCCGACACUCCUUCCCUAUCCCCGUUCCCCCUUGCAGCCCCCUACACCCAUUCCCUAUCCCCGUCACCCAAUCCCUCUCCUCCUACACCCAUUCCCUGUCCCCGUCACCCCCUCCAGCCUCCAGCCCCCUACACCCAUUCCCUAUCCCUGUCACCCCCUCCAUCCUCUUCCCUAUCCCCGUCAUCCCCUCCAGCCCCCUACUCCCCCUCCCUAUCCCUGUCACCCCUCUCCCUAUCCACAUCACCCCCUCCCUAUCUCUGUCACCAGACUACACUGGUCUCGGAUCACAUUUGUUUCCAAGCAAAAACCCGGUGCCUGUACUUUUAAACACCCCAUAAUAGUCACCAAGACAGAGGGAAGUGUUCAUUUUUUUAAAAAAAGUCCAUCUGUUCAGACUUGUGAUGGGAAAAUUCUAGUGUCCUGUCUCUAUCCAACAUCCCGACACACACGAUCACUGCCUGGGAGUCCUGAGGAGCCCCAGAGGAGA